GACGGAGGGUGCUAGCGUUGUUCGGAAUUAUUGGGCGUAAAGAGCUCGUAGGCGGUCUGUCGCGUCGGCUGUGAAAACUCGGGGCUCAACCCCGAGCCUGCAGUCGAUACGGGCAGACUAGAGUGCGGUAGGGGAGACUGGAAUUCCUGGUGUAGCGGUGAAAUGCGCAGAUAUCAGGAGGAACACCGGUGGCGAAGGCGGGUCUCUGGGCCGAUACUGACGCUGAGGAGCGAAAGCGUGGGGAGCGAACAGG
rnacentral:rRNA from 1 species